UACGUAGGGUGCGAGCGUUAAUCGGAAUUACUGGGCGUAAAGCGUGCGUAGGUGGUUUGUUAAGUCUGCUGUGAAAGCCCCGGGCUCAACCUGGGAAUGGCAGUGGAUACUGGCAAGCUAGAGUGCGGUAGAGGGGUGUGGAAUUCCCGGUGUAGCGGUGAAAUGCGUAGAGAUCGGGAGGAACACCAGUGGCGAAGGCGGCACCCUGGACCAGCACUGACACUGAGGCACGAAAGCGUGGGGAGCAAACGGG
rnacentral:rRNA from 1 species